CGGUUGAUCCUGCCGGAGGCCACUGCUAUCGGAGUCCGACUAAGCCAUGCGAGUCCAGGUGCUUCGGCACCGGCGGACGGCUCAGUAACACGUGGACAACCUACCCUCGGGAGGGGGAUAACCCCGGGAAACUGGGAAUAAACCCCCAUAGGUCAUAGAGGCUGGAAGGCACUAUGACCGAAAUUCCGAAAGGAGCCCGAGGAUGGGUCUGCGGCCUAUCAGGUUGUAGUGGGGGUAACGGCCCCACUAGCCUACGACGGGUACGGGCCCUGAGAGGGGGAGCCCGGAGAUGGACUCUGAGACACGAGUCCAGGCCCUACGGGGCGCAGCAGGCGCGAAAACUCCGCAAUGCUCGAAAGAGCGACGGGGGGACUCCGAGUGCCUACGCUUUGCGUAGGCUUUUCCUGAGCCUAAAAAGCUCAGGGAAUAAGGGCUGGGUAAGACGGGUGCCAGCCGCCGCGGUAAUACCCGCAGCUCGAGUGGUGGCCGCUUUUAUUGGGCCUAAAGCGUCCGUAGCCGGUCUGGUAAAUGCCUGGGUAAAUCGUCUGGCUCAACCAGACGGCUCCCAGGUAGACUGCCAGACUUGGGACCGGAGGAGGGAGAGGGUACUCCAGGGGUAGGGGUGAAAU
rnacentral:rRNA from 1 species